GGAGACCCCAGGUCAGACGG
rnacentral:rRNA from 1 species